rnacentral:rRNA from 1 species
GACGAACGCUGGCGGCGUGCCUAAUACAUGCAAGUAGAACGCUGAAGGAGGAGCUUGCUUCGCUGGAUGAGUUGCGAACGGGUGAGUAACGCGUAGGUAACCUGCCUGGUAGCGGGGGAUAACUAUUGGAAACGAUAGCUAAUACCGCAUAAGAGUAGAUGUUGCAUGACAUUUGCUUAAAAGGUGCAAUUGCAUCACUACCAGAUGGACCUGCGUUGUAUUAGCGAGUUGGUGGGGUAACGGCUCACCAAGGCGACGAUACAUAGCCGACCUGAGAGGGGGAUCGGCCACACUGGGACUGGGACACGGCCCCGACUCCUGCGGGGAGCAGCAGUAGGGGAUCUUCGGACAUGGGCCGAAGUCUGACCGCGCCCCGCCGCGUGGGUGGAGGAAGUUUUCGGGUCGUAAAGCUCUGUUGUGAGGGGAGAACGAGUGUGAGAGUGGAAAGUUCACGCUGUGACGGUAGCUUACCAGAAAGGGACGGCUAACUACGUG